rnacentral:misc_RNA from 1 species
AACCAUAGAAACCUGCGGAGUACCUGCGGAGGGAUCAUUAAAAAAAGAAUCGCAAGAUUCUAUUUUUUUAAAGCUUUACUACUAUUUUUUAUAGGAGUAGAGCUUUUUCCACACUCUUUUUAAUAUUAAUCGUCUUUUGACGAUAUCCAAAAAUAAAAAAAACUUUCAGCAAUGGAUCU